rnacentral:rRNA from 1 species
UCCGUAGGUGGAUAAUUAAGUCAGAGGUGAAAGUUUGCAGCUCAACUGUAAAAUUGCCUUUGAUACUGGUUAUCUUGAGUUAUUAUGAAGUAGUUAGAAUAUGUAGUGUAGCGGUGAAAUGCAUAGAUAUUACAUAGAAUACCAAUUGCGAAGGCAGAUUACGAAUAAUAUACUGACACUGAUGGACGAAAGCGUGGGUAGCGAACAGGAUUAGAUACACUGGUAGUCC